rnacentral:lncRNA from 1 species
GACCUCUGAAACACUACACCAGAGUAAAUAAAUGCCCUUGCAUCCUCCAGUUCUUCCUGGAAUCCCGCACCCUCUUCCUGAUUUGAAUGGAAACUCACUCUUACACAAGGGCAUCCUGGAAUCCCGCACCCUCUUCCUGAUUUGAAUGGAAACUCACUCUUACACAAGGGCAUCCUGGAAUCCCGCACCCUCUUCCUGAUUUGAAUGGAAACUCACUCUUACACAAGGGCAUCCUGGAAUCCCGCACUCUCUUCCUGAUUUGAAUGGAAACUCACUCUUACAUGAGGGCACGGCUUCACCUGCUUUGUCUCUUCUGAGGGAUGCUCAUUCUCCCAUCCCCAGUGCCAGCCAAAGAAGUAGCCCCGACAAACAACUUUAAAGUUUCCCAGUUCUGCUUCCAAGCCGUACACUGUUCCAG